AAUAAGUACAGUUUUAUACUAUUCAUAUCCAAUGUUUGAUCAUCUUAUUUAAAAAAUUUUAUGAUUAAUAUUUUUAUUGUUAUUAGAUGAUAAAAUAUGAAUAUUUCUUUAUCUGUGACUAAUUUUUUUGAAAAAAAUCAUAAAAUUUCCAAAUAAGAUGGACGGCCAAACGUUGGAUACGCAUACCAACGCUGUAUUUAUU
rfam:Oryza glaberrima chromosome 1 Oglab01_0023_41, whole genome shotgun sequence.